rnacentral:rRNA from 1 species
UCGUCUGAUCUCGGAAGCUAAGCAGGGUCGGGCCUGGUUAGUACUUGGAUGAGAGAUCACCUUGGAAUACCAAGUGCUGUAGGCA